GGUUCCGUAGUGUAGUGGUUAUCACGUUCGCUUUACAAGCGAAAGGUCUCCGGUUCGAUCCCGGACGGAACCA